rnacentral:rRNA from 1 species
AGAGCGAACGCUGGCGGCGUGCUUAACACAUGCAAGUCGAACGCGCAGCAGUUUGUAGCAAUACAGAUUGUGGGCGCGUGGCGAACGGGUGCGUAACACGUGGAUAACCUUCCUUCAGGUGGGGAAUAACCCAGUGAAAAUUGGGCUAAUACCGCAUAACAUGACGAUGGCUCAUGCCGUUGUCUUCAAAGGCGCAAGUCGCCAGAAGAGGGAUCCGCGGCCGAUUAGCUAGUUGGCGAGGUAAUGGCUCACCAAGGCAUUGAUCGGUAGCCGGACUGAGAGGUUGGCCGGCCACACUGGAACUGAGACACGGUCCAGACUCCUACGGGAGGCAGCAGUGGGGAAUCUUGCACAAUGGACGAAAGUCUGAUGCAGCAACGCCGCGUGGGGAUGAAGCUUUUCGGAGUGUAAACCCUUUCGACCCGGAAGAAAGCCCGCAAGGGUUUGACGGUACGGGUAUAAGAAGCCCGGCUAACUACGUGCCAGCAGCCG